UUCGGAUUGUAGUCUGCAACUCGACUACAUGAAGCUGGAAUCGCUAGUAAUCGCGAAUCAGAAUGUCGCGGUGAAUACGUUCCCGGGUCUUGUACACACCGCCCGUCACACCAUGGGAGUCGGUAACGCCCGAAGUCAGUGACCCAACCAAUCCGGAGGGAGCUGCCGAAGGCGGGAUCGGUAACUGGGGUGAAGUCGUAACAAGGUAAC
rnacentral:rRNA from 1 species